GGANUUGGAAAUGGGGGAACCCUGAUCCAGCCAUGCCGCGUGAGUGAUGAAGGCCCUAGGGUUGUAAAACUCUUUCGGCGGGGACGAUAAUGACGGUACCCGCAGAAGAAGCUCCGGCUAACUUCGUGCCAGCAGCCGCGGUAAUACGAAGGGGGCUAGCGUUGUUCGGAAUUACUGGGCGUAAAGCGCGCGCAGGCGGUCCUUCAAGUCAGGGGUGAAAGCCCAGGGCUCAACCCUGGAAUGGCCUUUGAGACUAGAGGACUUGGGUACGGGAGAGGUGAGUGGAAUUCCGAGUGUAGAGGUGAAAUUCGUAGAUAUUCGGAAGAACACCAGUGGCGAAGGCGGCUCACUGGCCCGUUACCGACGCUCAGGCGCGACAGCGUGGGGAGCAAACAGGAUUAGAUACCCUGGUAGUCCACGCCGUAAACGAUGGAUGCUAGCCGUUGGUAAGCAUGCUUAUCAGUGGCGCAGCUAACGCAUUAAGCAUCCCGCCUGGGGAGUACGGCCGCAAGGUUGAAACUCAAAAAAAUUGACGGA
rnacentral:rRNA from 1 species